GGUGGCCUAGUGUUAGAGCAUCUGCCUCAGAUGAGGGAGGUCAUGGGUUUGAUCCCCAGUAGAAUCA